rnacentral:tmRNA from 1 species
GGGGCUGAUCUAGGAUUCGACAGGAUUGAUGAUACCGGAUGGAGCACGUCGAGGGACGGUUUGCCUCGUAAAAAGCCGUAAAAAAAUAGUCGCAAACGACGAAAACUACGCACUAGCAGCUUAAUACCCUGCCAAGAGCUCUCUUGCCCUAGCUUCUGCUCGUAAGACGGGGAACAACAAGAGAUCAAAACCCAAACGAACUAGUGGCGCGGCUCCCGCCUGAGAGGCAACCCACGAAAUUUAAUUCAGGAUAGUCGAUAAGUGGCGUGUCUGUUCGCAGCUUAUUGGUGAAUGUAAAAACUGACUAAACGUGUAGCGCCAAAGGAUAAGCUUUUCUGGACGGGGGUUCGACUCCCCCAGCUCCACCA